rnacentral:lncRNA from 1 species
GGUGUAAUAUUUUUAGCCGGGACAAAAUCAACCGGCCGUCUAAAUAAGACAGUCGAUUAUGUCAUUCUUCAUAAUACGACAUCACGUCUCCGCUUCAACGCACACAUCUGCCGUUUUUAAAGAAAUAAAAAAAAUCCAAAAUUGAAAAAUAAAGAGUCAAAACCGACGACACGGCUGGUUUGUUUUAUAUAUAUCUUACCAAAUACAUCAUUAUUUUUGGACUCAUAUUAAACCGACCACGAACGCGGUCGAUUAUAACCAUCUGUUGGGUUUAUGCAAGAGACAGCUUUAGGCUGUUAAAACUGACUAGUUAUAACCGACUGACGAUGCAAUGUAUCGGUCGAUUAUGUUCCUCUGUUUAAAAACGGCAUCGUUGCCCCUGUUUAACAUAUACAUUUGCCAUUUUUUGAAAAAUAAAAAUAUUCAAAUAAAAGUUAAAUAGUUAAAACAGACCGGGGACGGUCAGUUAAACAUACCUGGUCGGAUUUGUGCAUGAUGGGCCUUUUAAUUAUUAUAACAGACCGCUCUUAACUGACCGAUAAAUUAGGGGCACGAUCGAUUUUCUAUGUUGUGGAAUGGUAAACUCUGUCGAUUAUGUUAUAGUCGGUCGGUUUUCUGGAUAGUCUAACGGUACACUCGGUCAGUUAUGCUAUAUGUUGGUUGGUUUUAUGGUUUACAUUUUCAAAAAAAAAAAGUUGUUGCGCGCUAUUUCAUUUCGUUAUAGUUAUCUACGACCAACAACCAUUUAAUCAUGUUUUUAUUUCAUCUUCUAAAAUGCACUUGGCUUUCUAUUUGCAAUGACAGAACAAGUUUUAUAUACAGAAAAAUUGAAACAAAUAGAACCAUUUAUUCGCAAUUCGUCUGAUAAAAACUAACCUCGUCAAUGGCACCUUCAAAACAUCAGAAUAUUCGUCUUUGCAUCAGCUCCACAACACACAAUGCUAUCAUUCUAAUUAGUCGCCAGUUACAAAAGAAAUUAUAAUUAGUGAUCGUAUUAAAUAAAUUAGUUAAAGUAGUGAUAUUCACAAAUAAAUUAGUUAAAGUAGUGAUAUUCAAAAAUCAAUCAAAGUAGUUAGCUGAUAUCAAUAUUCAAAUAAAUUUAAUCUUAAUAAUAUUUCAAAGUUAAUUUAAUUAACUAAGCAGUCAAGGUUAUGACUAACGGGAAUACACUCUUAGAAAUAAAUGGAAGGAUGACUCUUGGGAUUGGAUGAUGUAAUCAAUAUUUGACUUUUCACUUGCUUAACUCCUGUGCUAUAAAAAGACACUAAGUUAAUCCAAAUUAACAUCAAAACUUUAAUCUAAAAACCAACACCCAAUGAAAAUCAUAUGCCACCACUACAACAAAACAGUCACCAUUGACAACAAUAUCUAUGGGAUUUUUGAAUUCCUAGAGGAAAUUUGGGAUGAAAUGCCUUAUGAAGAAAGAGCCAUAUCCUAUUCAUGCAACUUGAUCACUGUCUUGAAGAGCAAAGGCUCGAGGCAUAAAGAGUGGCCGAGAUACGCAAGCAAGAGGGGUUAAUCAAGUUCGCGAGGAUGAUGGCUCAGAAGUUGAAGAAGCAAAAGGAGGAGGAAGACAAGGCUGGCCCUUCUGGGCUUUGAAGUUGUUUUUAUAAAUGUUUUUUAAUGAAUUUUAUUUGAAUGUUUAAUGAAAUGGUUAUGUAUCAUGCUUGAAAAUUCAACUCAUGCUCGUUAUCAUGCUUACAAAAUCAACUGAAAAUCGAACUCAAAAAACUAAAUCAAAAUCAAACUCAAAAUCGACUAAGCUUACAAACAUAUACAUACACUAACAUAUAAAGAGAAACUGAGGGAAAGAUCGAAAUACCUAUAAAUUUGAAGCUUAUACAUAGAACCAUAAUUGAGAUUGAAGCCUAUCUGAAACCGAAUAGAGACCUAACUGAAGGUUAAGAACCCUCAUUUUGAUGGGUUUCGAAAGAGAGAGAUAGAGAGGGAGAGGUUUUAGGUAGAGAAGGGUAGAGAGAGAGAGAGAGAUAUUUUGGGAAAAAGAGAGAAAGAAAAUGAAAUGGGAAAAAAAAGAGGGAGACUGGUGAGGGAGAAAG